AUUGAACGCUGGCGGCAGGCCUAACACAUGCAAGUCGAACGAGUGGCGGACGGGUGAGUAAUGUCUGGGAAACUGCCUGAUGGAGGGGGAAAACUACUGGAAACGGUAGCUAAUACCGCAUACCAUCAGAUGUGCCCAGAUGGGAUUAGCUUGGUGGGGGGGUAACGGCUCACCAAGGCGACGGUCCCUAGCUGGUCUGAGAGGAUGCCCAGCCACUGGGGAACUGAGAUACGGUCCGGACUCCUACGGGAGGCAGCAGUGGGGAAUAUUGCACAAUGGGGGCAAGCCUGAUGCAGCCAUGCCGCGUGUAUGAAGAAGGCCUUCUGGUUGUAAAGUACGUUCAGCGGGGAGGCGUUACCCGCAGAAGAAGCACCGGCUAACUCCGUGCCAGCAGCCGCGGUAAUAC
rnacentral:rRNA from 1 species